UACUUGUACCAACUGGAUGAGCAGCGAACGGGUGAGUAACGCGUGGGGAAUCUGCCUUUGAGCGGGGGACAACAUUUGGAAACGAAUGCUAAUACCGCAUAAAAACUUUAAACACAAGUUUUAAGUUUGAAAGAUGCAAUUGCAUCACUCAAAGAUGAUCCCGCGUUGUAUUAGCUAGUUGGUGAGGUAAUGGCUCACCAAGACGAUGAUGCAUAGCCGAGUUGAGAGGCUGAUCGGCCACAAUGGGACUGAGACACGGCCCGUACUCC
rnacentral:rRNA from 1 species